AGGGCGUACGGUGAAUGCCUUGGUGCCAACAGGCGAAGAAGGACGCGGCAAGCUGCGAAAAGCCUCGGGAAGCUGCAAGCAAGCGAUGAUCCGGGGAUAUCCGAAUGGGGUAACCUGAUCGAGGCAAUACUCGAUCGUUCAUACCUGAAUACAUAGGGUAUGAAACGCGAAACCCGCUGAAGUGAAACAUCUCAGUAAGCGGAGGAAAAGAAAGAGAAAUCGAUUCCGUAAGUAGUGGCGAGCGAAAGCGGAUGGAGCCCAAACCGAAGGUAUUCCUUCGGGGUUGUAGGACCACGACCUAUUCGACCAUACUGGAUAGUAGAACAGCCUGGAAAGGCUGGCCGUAGAAGGUGAAAGCCCUGUAGACGAAAUCCAGAGUGGGAAUUAGUGGUAUCCUGAGUAAUACAUCACACGUGGAACGAUGUAUGAAACCGCGCGGACCACCGCGCAAGGCUAAAUACUAGUUGGCGACCGAUAGUGAACAAGUACCGAGAGGGAAAGGUGAAAAGAACCGCUGUGAGCGGAGUGAAAUAGAACCUGAAACCGUAUGUCUACAAAGUGUCAGAGCAGAGCAAUCUGCGAUGGCGUGCCUUUUGUUUAAUGAGUCUGCGAGUCAGUGUUUGUGGCAAGACUAAGGGCUUCCGGCCCGGAGUCGCAGCGAAAGCAAGUCCGAACAGGGCGCAAUAAGUCGCAGGUACUGGACCCGAAGCGGAGGUGACCUACCCUUGGCCAGGUUGAAGCAUGGGUAAAACCAUGUGGAGGACCGAACAGGUGAACGUUGAAAAGUUCUCUGAUGAGCUGAGGGUAGGAGUGAAAGGCUAAUCAAACCCCGUGAUAGCUGGUUCUCUUCGAAAUGCAUUUAGGUGCAGCGUCACGUGCUGAUGCGCGGGGGUAGAGCACUGACAAGGCUAGGGGGCACACCCGCUUACCAAACCUUAUCAAACUCCGAAUACCGUGCAAUGGAACGUGGCAGUGAGACAGUGGGGGAUAAGCUUCAUUGUCGAGAGGGAAACAACCCAGACCAGCAGCUAAGGUGCCUAAAUAACGCUCAGUGGAAAGGAUGUGGGAUUACACAGACAGUGAGGAUGUUGGCUUAGAAGCAGCCACCAUUUAAAAAAUGCGUAAUAGCUUACUCAUCGAGUGAUCCUGCGCCGAAAAUGAUUGGCGAUCAAGCGUUAUACCGAAGCUCUGGACUUUGCCGCAAGGCAGAGUGGUAGAAGAGCGUUGCAUGCGCGUCGAAGGGUGAUGGCGACUGACCCUGGAGCACAUGCAAGUGAGUAUGCAGACAUGAGUAACGUUAAGCCGGGUGAAAUCCCCGGCCGCCGUAAACCCGAGGUUUCCAGGGCAACGUGUUUCGUCCCUGGGUUAGCCGGGACCUAAGCCGAGGCCGAGAGGCGUAGGCGAUGGACAUCAGGUUAAUAAUCCUGAGCUCGCGACCCUUAAACUGGGGGGACGCAUGAGAAAAGAUGACUAGGUUAUUGAAUUCCGAGUUGAGUCUACGGACUCAGCGCAUCAUUGGAUCGAGUGCCAAGAAAAGCCCCAGCGUAUGCUAAGCGACCCGUACCGCAAACCGACACAGGUGGGUGGGUAGAAUAUACCAAGGCGUAAGAGUGAAACCUGGUUAAGGAACUCGGCAAAUUAGCCCCGUAACUUCGGAAGAAGGGGUGCCUGCAGCGAUGCAGGCCGCAGAGAAAUGGCCCAACCGACUGUUUAUCAAAAACACAGCACUCUGCAAAGACGCAAGUCGAAGUAUAGGGUGUGACACGUGACCAAUGCCGAAAGAUUAAGGCAAGGGGUUAGCCGCAAGGCGAAGCUCUGAACCCAAGUCCCGGUGAAUGUCGGCCGUAACUAUAACGGUCCUAAGGUAGCGAAAUUCCUUGUCGGGUAAGUUCCGACCUGCACGAAUCGUGAAACGAGUUGGGCACUGUCUCAACCAGGCGCUCAGUGAAAUUGUAGUGGCGGUGAAGAUGCCGCCUACCCGCAGAAGGACGGAAAGACCCUAUAGACCUUAACUGUAAGCUGUCAUUGUUUCUUCGGUUUUAAUGCUCAGAGUAAGUGGGAGACGCUGAAGACGCCCUUUAGGGGGCGUCCGAGUCAUCAAUGAGACACCACCCUUUGAAACUGGAGGAUCUAACCCUGAGCCGUGAAUCCGGCCAGAGGACCGUGUCAGCCGGUCAGUUUUACUGGGGCGGUAUCCUCCCAAAGAGUAACGGAGGAGCGCGAAGGUGGGCUCAGCCCGGUUGGCAACCGGGUGUCGAGUGCAUGGGCAUAAGCCCGCCUAACUGUGAGACCAACAAGUCGAGCAGAUGCGAAAGCAGGCCCAAGUGAUCCGGCGGUAGAAAGUGGAAUUGCCGUCGCUCAACGGAUAAAAGGUACCUUAGGGAUAACAGGCUGAUCACGCCCAAGAGUUCAUAUCGACGGCGUGGUUUGGCACCUCGAUGUCGGCUCGUCGCAUCCUGGGGCUGGAGAAGGUCCCAAGGGUUGGGCUGUUCGCCCAUUAAAGUGGC
rnacentral:rRNA from 1 species